GAGCACAUAUGCACAUAUCUUUAAUUUCUUUAAAGGGAGUUCACUACUGUGUGAUUAAAUUAAUAAUUGUUGUCUUUUACUAUCUUAGAUUUGGAAGAAGUUCCCUUCUAAAUACAUACUAUUUACAACAAAUUCAGAUGUAAGCAGUCAGUCAUCUAUUGAGAGAAUUCUAUGAAAAUGUCUUGCCACUGUUGUUCAAAAGCAUGUUAUUUUUUACCUCUUCUGUGAAGGGAAAUUUAAAAAGUAAUGUUCAGCAAUUUCAAACAAAAUGGAACACCACAUUGAUUGAUUUUAAAACUAUUAAUACUUCUUUGUACAUACAUAGUAUUUUACUUUUCUGGUUGGGUUACUGUGUGCUUCAGAGACCUUCCUGUGGUUUACUCAGCCUCUGUGUUAGUGAAAUCUGAAAUUUGCAAGACUUCCAGGACAAGGCUAAGGGAGAUUCAGCUGGUGUGAGUCUUAUGAUGUGACUGCCGCUGUACAAAUGUAGAAGGAAACUGAGGCAGAAGAGGAACAGCUUCAACAGAAAAACACAGGAUGUUGGUGUUUUUUCUUUCAGUGAGUUACACCCGUCAUCCUGAAGGAGAAUUAUAAUCCAAAGGAGUGACAGAACUGUAAGUAUUCAUUUCAUUAUUUUUUAUGUUGUUUUAAUUCAUACUUGACCAAGCAGUUAGAAAAGGCUGAUUCUAGAUUGAUGAAACACAUAAAUAGGUAUCUGUACAGAAAUACACAGUCAUACUUGACUUUAAAGCCCCCAAUUUAACCCUUAAUUUGAUAACACCUAAGGCUUUUGCAACAAGUAUGAUGGUGGCUCUCUUGUAUAUUUCUGGAGCAGUAACUGCCUUUUAUAUUUUGGUUUAUUUUUAAUGCUAAGUACAAAAUCAAAACAUUUAGAUAUAUUUAACAAGUAUAUAAACUGAAGUUAAAGCCUUUGAAUAAGACCUGUCAACAGAGAAGUAGACUACUUUCAGCACUGGAGAUAUUUGGAUAUUACCUAGACCCUGGAUAAGAGAACUUACUACUAAAUUUUUCUUCACUUUUAAAUAACACAAUAAGGUUCCAUAAAAGAUACUUUCCGAAACUAACACAAUAAGAUUCUCUAAGAGAUACUUUCAGAAUCACAUCAGUUAAAAUGUGCUCUCACUGUACUUUAGCUCCAGGUUUGAUUUUAAUAUUUUCAUUGGUUUGACCAUUGCCUAUGACAGAGCAAGCUGUACAGUUGGUACUCGAUAAAUAUAUCACAGAGCAGAGCCACUUAAAGAGUCUUUCCGUCCAGAUUAUCCUAGUGCAUAGAUUCACAAUUAAUUUGGAAUCCCGACAGCAUCUUAUCCGUUUGAAUGUGUGGAACAGUACCAAAAUGAACAAGUACCACAUUCUUUCUAUAAAUGGAAAAAUCUUAAAUGUGUAUUUCUUAUAAAUUACCACAGUUAGUGGCAGUAAUAAUAGUUUGGAUAAUGAAUGACUUUCAAUAAAAUUUACUCACUAAAAGAUACUGAGGAAUAUAUUUAAUAGUUCAUGUGACUACUGUAUAUGGCAGUCCAAAUAGGUGUUAGAAUGACGUCCAGUCUCUUAAGAUACCAUAAAAUAUUUACAUGUUUACAAAUCUCUCCAAGCCAAAUGAGGUUAAGCAGCUUUCAAAAGGCAGAACUGGUGAGAAGGGGAAGAAAGUGGUUAAAAUUCUAUUAGUCACAGCCUCUUGUUUCCAGCCUGUGAAUAUGGUAGUUCCUAAAAGCAGUGACUAUUCCUCUGAAUAUCACUUUGAUGCCUCAAGAUAGUUCUUAAUUCCUCUAGCAGCAUCACUGGAUACUUACCCCUCCAGAAGUAUUGGGUUUUAUUUAACCAACAGUCAAGGUUUCAGGGAAAGCCUUUUUCUUUCCCCUUCCCCAAACCAAACCUGAGUUUAAGUAUCAUUUGUAUGAGAACAUGCACAUAAUCUUCCAUCAUUCCUUUCUCAACACCAAAAAGAAGUACUGAUUAUUCUUAGAAAAGAUUAUUUUUUAUUUAAUGCAGUGAAUAGUCAACAUUACCAGUGAACCAAACAUCUGAAAUUUGAUAGAAUGAAACAAAGAGAAAUCAAUCAUCUGUUAAUGGUUACUAUCCACAUCUGAGGUGGCAGGAUAUCAGGGUUGUAGACAUUUGAGUAGACAGUGUCAGCACAGAACAUAAAUCUCACACAAAGUAUAAUCAAAAGUUACUUCAAACAUUAUACUAUCAGUAAACUUUCUGUAAUAACAUCAGCUUCAUGGAGAAUAAUGUCUUAGCAACAAAUAAUGAUGGUAUGUGGACAUAAGCAUGUUGUCAUAAACAUGAUGCACUAAAUAGAACAUACUGAGGUCAAGGCCUUUCUGUAGAAAGGGAAUUUAAUUAACAUUCUUUUAAGCACAGUGUAAGAAACAGAUCAAAAUAGUUCUAUCAUAAGAAAUAGUAUUUAACAACAUAGCUUUAAAAUAAAAAUGCUUUAAAAAUCAACUUUGAGAUUAAAUUUAUUUUUGAAGUAUUUUCUUUUAGAGUGAAAUAUAUAUUUCUUGCUCUAGCUUUUCUACAUUUUUCCAGCAUAACCCUCACCUUUACCCUAUCCCAGUACAUUGUUAAUAAAUAGUACAAAACACUUGUCUGCAGCAAUAUCAACCAAACUUAGUCCCCUACCAAGUCAGGGAAGUAAGACAUCCUCACCAAGUUUUCUCUAUAGAGGUAUACUCCCUUGAUAGAGCAGGAAGCUAGGUAUAAAAACUACAUGAGAGUCUUGGGAAUGCAGUUUUUAAGUAUAGGUUCUGUGGUAAUAGUGAAACAUUUUUAAAGGCAAACUUUCCCCUCCCCAUAAGCAGUUUAUUUUACAAAAUAGGUUUCCAUGCAUUCUAAUUUUCAAGAAUGAUUAUUUUUUUCUAAAAAUGAAUGUAAUGAGACACUGGCAUAUCACUUAGUACACUGCAUUCUCCUCUACAUUAAAAUUGACACUAAUAACAAAAAUCAUAAAUGCAUUAAAACAUUUCAGUAACCUAAUGAGAAAGUAGAUAUAUUUUUUUUCUGUGAAAUACUUGCAUAUUAAAUAUUUUUAAAUGCACAGAGGCAUAAUCUGACAUCAAACCAAUGUGAAUUUAAUUUGCCAAAUUUUUGACAACUGAACUGGGUUGCUAAUUUGUUGACUUGGUACAAAUUAACAGUGGUUGGUAUAAAAAUUCAUUUAUAAACAUGGCAGUAUUUUUUGUAUCGUCCUGUAGAGAUUUUAAAGUUUUAGAUGGAAUGAUAGAAGAUUUGAAAAUUUUCUUUGUAGGAUUUCAAGGUAUGGAAAAUUCUCUUGUUGAGGUGACUAUACUUUCAUUCAUUAGCUUAAAACCAGCCUAGUCAUAGCUAAAUAAUGUGCACAGGAAUGAAUAUCAGGAUCUGAAACUAUGUAAGUUGAAAUGCAUCUGUUCCGUUAUUCAAGUUCUGGGAUUCCCCCCUCCCUUUUGAAAUGUAUAAAACAUAGAAAACUGUAAUGGAUUAUUUUUCAGAUAAAAAAUAGUCACAUAAAAAAAAAACUUUAAAUUCAAAUUGACAUUUACAUUUUAUGUAGAUUUAAUCAGAGCACAGCUGAGCAUUUAAUCUAAUAUUCUAGUUUUUCCACUUGUAAUUAGAGAAGUAUGUAUCUCCCAAUGUUAACCAUUCUUACAUUUGUUGUUCCAGUGUUAUAUUAUUAUCCACAACUAGCAAGGCUUUUAGGCAGCAAUAGCUAAACCUUUAUCAAACUGUUUCUGUACAAUGGAAGUAUAUUUUCAAAGACAUACGCCUUUGUACACUAUUUACAAAUUCUCUCAAUCAUGAUAAAAAGGCAAAAUAAAUAAAAAACAGAAAGAAAGGAAGUGCUGCUGAGGCUGAAGGCUUUUUCUUUUAUCCUCCCAAACAGAUGCUGGCCUCCCCAGUGCUGGGAGCUGGCUAGCCAAGAUUGUUUUUCUUCCUUUUACAUGGGCUAUGAGAAGGAUCUGGUUUCAGUUCUUGGUAUUGCACCUGUUUAAACAGUUCAGAGAAAGGCUGGUCAGGUGGCCACUUUCUGGCAAAGGAAGGAAAAGCAAAGGAAUUGAGAGCCUGUGCUUGGGGGAAAAGUGCUCACUCUGGAAGCUAUAUGAGACCUGCAGCUGGGAUGCAGAAAACAAUAAAAAGACAGAGCAAGAGUCAAGGGAAAUCUUGCCAGAAACUAGACGAGAGCCCUGAUAGGAACUUUGCUAACAGGCCAGGAUCUCCACUACCCAUACACCCAUACACAUGUAAUAUUAAAAGCUGAAGCAUCUCCAUCUAUUUUGCAGAGCCGAAUAAUGGUUCUUUGCAGUUUAUUAUGUGCUUGUUUAAUAUAGGCUUCAUCUCCAUCCAGCCCACCUUCGGGUCAGAUACCAAAUCAAAGACUCAACAGAAGCAAAGGAAAAAAGUACUGUUGCAACCCAGCUUCAAUAGUUUGAAUAAAAACAUUUCUCAUUUUACUCUGAAAAUAUUUAAUGAUUAACGAGCACUAAUUAACCUCAAAGGAUUAAGAUAUGCCCCCAUUUUCAAAAAUCAGUUACUUUUGUAUGGCUGAGUCAAUCUGCUGUGCACCAGAAACUAUCACAACAUUGUUAAUCGUCUGUAUUCCAAUAUAAAAUAAAAAGUUUUAGAAAAAAAUCAGUUACUGUCCCCCCCCCCUUUAUUGAUCUCUAAAAUAGCCAUCUUUAAAACUCACCUAAUUCAUGCAGUUUAUUUAGGGAAGUGUUUUUCUCAGUAUCUGCUGGCACACUUUGCUUUCAUCAUCUAAUAUCCCUAAUUCCUCCUUGAGGUAAUGGUGACUUCCCUUCACAAAUUCCAGCUGAAUCUUCCUUGGAGGAGGACUGCCCUCCCUCCCUGACACCCCGGUAGGUUCUGUAUGCAAUGCUCUCUCAUUCCCCAUCUUCUCUAUAAGUUUCUUGUUGGAUAACACCCCAACUGGACUAAUCCCUGAGUGGCAAAAUCUUCUACAGGCUUUAUUAACUUUACCUGGCUCUUCUAAGACCUUCAAAAUUAAAUGGAUAUGAACGUGAAAACUCAAUGCCACACUACAUUAAAAAUGAUAAAAGCUUAAGAGAGAUUGCAGGUUUAUCUCCAGACCACCGCAGUAAAGUCACGUGAAUAUUUUGGUUUCCUAGUGCAUAUAAAAGUUCUGUUUAUGAUGUAUGGAAGUCUGUUAAGGAUGCAAUAGCAUUACAUCUAAAAAAGAAAUACCUUAAUUUAAAAGUGUUUCAUUGCUAAAAAAAAAAAAAUGCUAACCAUCAUCUGAACCUUCAGUAAGUAUUAAUCUUUUUACAACAGUAACAUCAGUGAUCACAGGAACAUAACAAAUAUAAUAAUGAAAAAGUUUGAAACAUUUCAAGAAUUACCAAAAUAUGACACACCCACAGUGAGCAAAUACUGUUGGAAAAAUGGUACCAAUGGACUUGCUCAAUACUGGGUGGCCACAGACCUUCAUUUAGUAAAAAAGCAAAUAUCUGUGAAGCCCAAUGAAAUGAGGUAUGCCUGCAGUAAUAAUUAAUAAUGAAAUCUACAUACCACUUGCACAUCUGAAGGGACUCUGGAAAGGAAAUCGAGUAGUUCAUUGUUAUCAAUUGCAUACGGAUUCCGAAGCUUUUUUGUAAAUUUAUUGAUUCCUGAAAAAGUGACAGAUCAAAUAUUACUGACACCAAUAUAGUUUGGAGUCCAAAGGCACAUUUCUGUCAAAAAAGUGUUGUGAUUUGAAGAUGUAGGUUAAGCUGCCUUGAUUUCAACCUUGACUGACUGAGCCAGAAAACCCAGUUUCCUCCCUCCCUCUUCUCCCUUCCUUCCACCUUCCAGCUCAAUGGCUGCUCUGUUUUUUCUCUUUGUGCUUCAGUGGCUUCUUCCCAGCAGGAAAGGCUUUCUAUUUGGGAAACAAAGGGCACAAGCAGUGACCUAUCUUGCCUUUCCCCUCAAAUACUUAGAAGCUUUUUGUAGUUUUUCAUCUGUGAUAAAACUUGUCUACCCUACAUUUUGGAUUGGGAUUAAGGCAAGAAGUCUGACUUAACUGGUUCCCCCUUUUCAGAAGAUACACUUUUUUUUUUUCAGUGGUGGGGAAGUGUUGCUGUUAUGCAAAUUCAUGUUUGAAAAUGCAUGACCUGGUGUUUUGUUUUUUUAAUUUUAAACUGACCUGGAAUUAGAAAAGGUUUACCACCAGCUUUUUUAAAAAAACAUAAAAAGCUUUGAAGAUGGCGACGCAUAAACAUCCUAAACCCAGCUCUUCCCACCAAUACACGGGAUUUACAGCUGCAUAUGGAACAACUGCCUCUGAGAAUACCUGAAAACUGGCUGAGUGAUGUCUGCACACUAACCACGAGAGAAGGCCCGCAUCGAAGCAGGAACCAUCUCUCCCCAGCUACCUUGCUUCAGCCAGUUGGUACCAUCUUCAUGCCCACCCUCUGCCAUGCUCCAGAGCACCAGCAUCUCCCUGAGGGGAGCUGUCACACAUCGGGUGCCCGAGGUUUUACGUCUAUGAGGCAGUUCAAGAUGGCAACCUAGGACAAUCAUUAACUCACCUCUUUGAGACAGUCUCACCAUAAACCCCAUGCCCAGUGCAGGUACCCAGCCAUCAGGAGGAAGCUCACAAGCCCAGAGCUUCUUUCUGAGUAGCUAGGAGAGAAGUAGCUUUUGUACACCACAUAAGGCACCUCAGCUUUUAAGACCUGCAUCUGAGAGAUGAGCCCUCAAGGCACCUGGCUUUCAAAACCAACAGGCUUGCAACCAUGGAACCCAGAGGCCUAUAGUGAAAGAAAAUGGCUCUUAAAGAGCUCGUGAGCACUCACUCAUCACAGGACCCAGCACAGAAGUGCAACUCUCUGAAAGGUGCCCAGGUUCUAUGUGAAGAAAGCCCAUCUACUAAUAUUAAGGUGUUGGCCAAAGAGGCGGGAACCUGCUGGGAUACUCCCUGGGGAUGGAAGCUCCUGAGUCCCAUCUUUGAGCUCUCGCUGCACUGCACUUCAGAGCACCAGUAUCUCUCGGAGGGGAACUUUCACACCUGUCUGGUGUCCUGGGUUUUGUGGCUGCCACCCAGGGGGAUACCCCUUGAGUGUUUGGCUCCAAAGGCUAGGGGACUUGUAUUCCUGGGUCUGUGGCACUAUGACAUUUGGAGAGACGGUUCUUGGCAGACCACCACUCCCAGGGAACCAGACAACAGACUGAGACACACCCCCUAGUCUUUCCAAGAAGGGGCCUAUUUGCUUGUCUGGGAGCUUUGGCCUGAGGGGCAGGAUUCUGGGCCGGCCUGCGUGGAGGAGCCUCUGGAAGGGCCGUCAGGAAACAGUGGCGGCUGGAGGACGCAGUGGUUGCCUUCUCCAGCCGGCCAGCAUCUCCCAGAGCCUUGUCUGGUGCCCGUUUUGGCAACUGCUCUCAGGAGACACCCCUACAUCCCUAGUUCUGGUGGCCAGAGGGCUGAUGUUUGCAGGUUCUCAAGGACUGUGACCAAUGGAGAAAAGAGUUCUGACACCCUCAGGGCACAGCAAGAAGUAGAGACCAAGGAGCUCAGCCCGUCUGUGAAACAGGCCUAUAAGCUAAUGGCUGCAGCUGAGGGGCAGGCUUCUAAUUAAAUACACAUCUAAGGGCUAACUGUGAACCCUUCUAGACACCUCAGAGGGCUCCCUUACACAUGUCUGGUGCCCCAGUUUUUGCAGCUGCCACCCAGGGGAUGCCCCUCAACCACCUUACUCUGGAGGUCAGGGGAGCUGGUGUGCCUGCCUGGGUCCACUAGAACUGUAACACCCAAGAGACAGGUCUCAGCAAGCUGCCCCCAGCAGGGCACUGCACAAACGGGAGACUGCAGCGCACCCCCAGGGUUUCUAGAAAGACGCCUAUUUGCUUGUCCUGGAGCUUUGGCCUGAGGCGCCACUUUCAGGUCUGGCACACAUCUGAAGGCCUGCGGAGGGACGCUCAGGGAACAGAGGCCGGGGUGCUGUCAUCACCACUCUCCUCCAGCACGGCUCAUCAGUUGUCUCCCAGAAAGCUUACAAACUCACCCGAAGCCCCGAUUUUUGUGACUGUCACCCAGGGGACACCUCCAGAUCCUCUGGUGGCCAACUGGGCUUACACUUGCAGCCCCACUGUGUGUAUUUGCUUUAAAAGCUGCAGCCCACAGGGCUGACUCUCAGUGAGCCUGAGUCUAGGUGCUGACUGAGCGCCUCCUGUUCGAGACGCUGACAGGUCUUGGCACAUCCUCAACUCCUGAGAGCUAUUAAAACAGGCUGCCCAGACCGUCAGAAAGGUUUGAGAGACAACUAAGCCAAGGCAAAGUUGAAUGAUCUCCUCCACAAGACCACGACUUCCAGGCUGGGAGGGGUGGCUCUUUUGUCUAACGCAUAGGAACCUACAUAGAGAUUCAAGCAAAAUGAGGGACAUGUUUCAAAUGGAAGAACAGGAUAAAUCUCAGGGGGAAAAGUCCUUCAUGAAACAGAUGUUAUUUACCUGAUAAGAAGUUCAAAGUCAUGCUCAUAAACAUGCUCACCAAAUUCAGGAGAAUAUGGAUGAACACAGUGAGUACGUCAACAAAGAAAGAACAGAUGAAGUACCAAAUAGACACAGAGCUGAAGCAUAAACUCAUUGAACUGAAAAAUACACUAGAGGGAUUCAACAGCAGGCUAGAUGAAAAAGAACACAAAGGAUCAGUGAAACAUACUAACAUUUGCACUAUAGGGAAUCACAGACGAGAGAAAAGAGCACAGGAAAUGUGUUUUAAGAAAUAAUGGUUGACAACUUCCCUAAUCUGGGGAAGGAAACACAUACAGAUCGAGAAAGCCCAGGGAGUUCCAAAUAAGAGAAACCCAAAGAGACUAACAUCAAGACAUAUAAUUAAAAUAUGAAAAGUUAAGGACAGGUAUAAUGAAAGUAUCAAGAUACUAACAACUUGUCAUGUACAAAGAACCUCCAGAAGACUGGGCAGAUUUUUGAGGAGAAACUUUGCAGACCUGAAAGAGAUGGCAUAAUGUAUUCAAAGCGCUGAAAGAAAAAGAAGAAAACUCGCAAACAGGAAUACUACUCAGCUAAGCUAUCCUUCAGAAUUGAAAAAGUGUUUUCCAGACAAGCAAAAGCCAAGAGUUUAUCACUAAACUGGCCUUACGACAAAUGUCAAAGAGAUUUCUUUAAGCCAAAAAACCGUGCAGUAAGUAGCAAGAAGACACAAGAAAGCACAAGUGUCACUAAUAAAGGUAAAUACAUAAUAAAUGUAGUGGGUUAAUCAUUUAUAAAACCAUUAUGAAGAUUCAACAACAAAUAUAGUAGAAAUAACUAUACUAUAAUAAUUAGUUAAGGGAAACACAGCAUAUUAAUUUAAAAAGGGUAAAAUGAGCUAUGAAACAUGAGAAAACAGUAAAAAUCUAGAACUUUCAAAUGCAUUCAAACUUAAGUUUUUAUAAGUAAGCCUCGCAGUUACCAUAUAGCAAAAGCCUACAGUAGAUAUACAGAGCAAUAAUUACUUUAAAUGAACUAAAUUUUCCAAUCUAAAUACAUAGGGUGUCUGAGUGUAUUAAAAAUAACCAGCCUCUUCUAUAUGUUGUCUUUGAGAGAUGAAGUCAGAUGUAAGGACACACGAGACUAAACGUCAAGGGAUGAAAAAAGAUAUUCCAUGCAAAUGGAAACCCAAAGAAAGCAAGGGAAGCUAUAACUCAUAUAAGACACUUUAAAACAAUCUAAAUUGGAAAGGAAGAAGUAAAACUGCUGCUAUUUGCAGAUGAUAUGACUUUAUAUAUAGAAAAUCCUAAACACUCCAUCAAAAAACUGCAAGAACUAAUAAAUGAAUUCAGUAAAGUUUUAGGAUACAAAAGGACUGUAUAAAAUGCUAUUGCAUUUCUAUAUACUACAAUGUACUACCAGAGAAAUUAAUAACAAAUUUAAUCAAGAAAGUGAAAGACCUAUACACUGAAAAUUGCAGGACACUGAUGAAAGAAACUGAAGACCAAACAAAUAAAUGAAAAAGUAUUCCCUGCUCAAGGAUUAUAAGAGUUAAUAUUGUUAAAUGUUCAUACUAUCCAUAGCCAUCUACAACUUCAGUACAAUUCCUUUCAAAAUUCCAAUGGCAUAUUUUAAUAGAAACAAUCCCACAAUUUGUAUGGAACCAUAAAAGUCCCCAAAUUGCCAGAGCAAUACUAAAGAAUAAAUCUGGAGCUAUCACACUCCCUGCUUUCAAACUAUAUUACAGGCCUCUCAUAACUAAACAGUAUGGUAUUGGCAUAAGAACAGAUGACAUGAAUCAGUGGAACAAGAUAGCCCAGAAAUAAACCCAUGCAUAUAUGGUCAAUUACUUACAACAAAGGAGCCAAGGAUAUACAAUGG